rnacentral:rRNA from 1 species
UACAGAGGUCUCAAGCGUUGUUCGGAUUCAUUGGGCGUAAAGGGUGUGUAGGUGGCGCCGUAAGUCGGGUGUGAAAUUUCGGAGCUUAACUCCGAAACUGCAUUCGAUACUGCGGUGCUUGAGGACUGGAGAGGAGACUGGAAUUCAUGGUGUAGCAGUGAAAUGCGUAGAUAUCAUGAGGAACACCAGAGGCGAAGGCGGCUACCUGGACAGUUACUGACGCUCAGGCACGAAAGCGUGGGGAGCAAAAGGG